GGCCCUCGGCCUCUUUGCACCCGGCAGAGUGACGAGCUUCGCCGGUGUCUUCAACGAAGUCCUGUCGGUCCCUACCGGCACAUCACACACUCCUGGAAGCAUGAUCUUCACUCCCUUCCUUCCACCUGCUGACCUGAAUGUGAAAGGGCUGCAAAACGACCCUGAGGAAUGGGUGGCUGUGUCUGACGCCACGGAGGACCCAUCCGGUGGCACAGGCUUGCCCAGGGAACCUGCUCUUCUGCGAGGGUCUUGGAGGAGCCGGUUCCAGAGAGCCCUGGCAUGUUUCACCAAGUGUUUCAGGGGAGGAUACCGGGCACUCGGAAUCUGAGACCACCGGAGCCACAGACACAGAGCCAUGAACGGUGACCAAGCCCCUUCUGCUGCUCCAUGCCCCUGCUCGCCGCAGUGUCCCAGUCACCAGGCCUGAAAUAAAUGCUGGCACGCUUGACUGUU
rnacentral:lncRNA from 1 species